AUGCGCAGGGCUGCGCCCUGGGGAGGGCUGGGAGGGACCCAGAAUGCGACGGCCCCAGGCUCUCAGGCUGGGCAGUGCGCCCUCACCUCUGCCUCUCUUGGCCUCUCGGAGGCCGUCCCCAGCCAUCUUUUAUCCUGUGAGGGAGCCCUCGAGCUGCUGUUGGAGGUGGCCUGGGGGCAGCAGGAGACUCUGGGACAGGGAUGGACUGGCGCUUGGGCCUCGGUGCUUCAGGGGCAGGAGUCCGGAAGAGCCUUGCAGCUGGCCUCAUCUCCGUGCUUCUCCCUGAUGUUGUUUUUUGCUGGAAAAUCCAGCCUGCAAAGCCAGCUGGGCGCCGGCCCGGAGCAGCUGGGGCCAAGCGGCCGGUGCUCUGGCAGAUGCAGGCUUGAUGCCUCUUCCUGCCUCCUCCGGGCCCAAAGCUGGUGGGGGCAGCAGCGAAGGGGCCUGGCCAGUGGAUACCCGAGGCCGCAAGGAGAGCGCCCGCCUCCCUGCUCAGGCCACCCCAGGAGAAAAGUCCCCAAACUCCCGCAGAGCCCAGCACAUCCGCAGAUCCUGGCGACGGGCGUCCACUGCCGUCCCCAUGGCCCUGAGCCCCUGACCAAGGACCACGGCAGCGGCAGACUUGAUGCGGGUGGGAGCAGCAGGGGGUGUGCCGUCCUCCCGACCCAGCCCCUCCUGGGAUGGAGCCCACGGGGCCACGUGGGGCCACGCAAUUUCUCCUUCGUGGUCUAUGCCUCGGCAGUCCUGCGGGUUAACCAGCCCUUGCGCCCCCACCGCCACCCCGAGGCGCGCCCUCCACAAAGGGGCCAGUCCUUUCCCCUCGGCUCCGGCCGCCCCGCUCCGUUGCGCGGUUGCAGGCAGGCGCGCACGCACACCCAGCCAGCUGUCCUCGGUGUCUCUUCCCUGGGGUGCCCGCCUCUGUCCCUGGGCUCCGUCCGAUUUUCCUCGUGCCUGGGUUUCACAGCCCCCAACUCACAGACCUCCCCCCUUCGUCCACAUUCACUGGGAGAGAAGAACUUGCUGACACAAGAGCUGCAGUUUUGA
ensembl:lncRNA